UACGGAGGGUGCAAGCGUUAAUCGGAAUUACUGGGCGUAAAGCGCGCGCAGGCGGUCUUUUAAGUCUGAUGUGAAAGCCCCCGGCUCAACCGGGGAGGGUCAUUGGAAACUGGAAGACUUGAGUGCGAGAGAGAAGAGUGGAAUUCCAUGUGUAGCGGUGAAAUGCGUAGAGAUAUGGAGGAACACCAGUGGCGAAAGCGGCUCUUUGGCUCGCAACUGACGCUGAGGCGCGAAAGCGUGGGGAGCAAACAGG
rnacentral:rRNA from 1 species